rnacentral:rRNA from 1 species
UGAGUAUGUCUGGGAACUGCCUGAUGGAGGGGGAUAACUACUGGAAACGGUAGCUAAUACCGCAUAACGUCGCAAGACCAAAGAGGGGGACCUUCGGGCCUCUUGCCAUCGGAUGUGCCCAGAUGGGAUUAGCUAGUAGGUGGGGUAACGGCUCACCUAGGCGACGAUCCCUAGCUGGUCUGAGAGGAUGACCAGCCACACUGGAACUGAGACACGGUCCAGACUCCUACGGGAGGCAGCAGUGGGGAAUAUUGCACAAUGGGCGCAAGCCUGAUGCAGCCAUGCCGCGUGUAUGAAGAAGGCCUUCGGGUUGUAAAGUACUUUCAGCGGGGAGGAAGGGAGUAAAGUUAAUACCUUUGCUCAUUGACGUUACCCGCAGAAGAAGCACCGGCUAACUCCGUGCCAGCAGCCGCGGUAAUACGGAGGGUGCAAGCGUUAAUCGGAAUUACUGGGCGUAAAGCGCACGCAGGCGGUUUGUUAAGUCAGAUGUGAAAUC